GACGUAGGGCGCGAGCGUUGUCCGGAUUUAUUGGGCGUAAAGAGCUCGUAGGCGGCUUGUCGCGUCGACUGUGAAAUCCCGAGGCUCAACUUCGGGCUUGCAGUCGAUACGGGCAGACUAGAGUUCGGUAGAGGGUAGUGGAAUUCCUGGUGUAGCAGUGAAAUGCGUAGAGAUCAGGAGGAACAUCCGUGGCGAAGGCGACUACCUGGACCAGUACUGACACUGAGGCACGAAAGCGUGGGGAGCAAACAGG
rnacentral:rRNA from 1 species